rnacentral:miRNA from 1 species
UCAGGAGAGAUGAUGCCGGCC